CAGAUAGAUAUAGAAACUAGUUCUUCUUAUACAAAGCUCUACAGCUAAAUAAACAAUGAAAUAUACAUAAAGGGCAGUUUUAAAGACAUAAAAUUACCAUUGAUGUGGAUUUGUGUUAAAUCAGUCACAGACAAUCUGGGGUCUUUGUGGCACUCUGUUGCAUUUUGAUUUACUAAGGCAAGUUGCCCUCCCAGCUAUGUCCAGCACCUGUCCUCUUUCCAUCAGUGGUAACAGUGCCAUCAGACAGUUCUAAAAAGGUUACAGGGCUAUUCUGAAAUCCUUCUGAGAACCCUUUAUUGCACUGAAUAUGUCUACACUAGUUACUAAAAUGUCUACUGCUAAUGCAGUCUUAUCCAAAUUAGCUUUAAACUAGCUGACUUGGGGACAGCUGGCAAUGUAGCCGUGGUAACAGUAGCUCCGUCUGGGAAGCCUACCUGCUGGCGUAGGACAUGUAAAAAUAUCCCUUGGUGUUAACCCCCACAAGGCUGUAUAUGAUGGCUUAGCUACUGCACUCAAGCAGUUUGUUUAAAGUUAGCUGGUGUGGGUGUUUAUCAGCCCGUGCCUGUGAAAUGUAGCUGUGUGCUGGCUGACGCACUCUGUGCUAGGGCUGCACUUCUUCCUACUGGUGAUGAGAAAGAUGCCACAGCAAAAUAGUCUUGGUGUGGUUCUUGAUGACAUACAGAUUUCUGCCAUACUUAACUUCAUGCACUGAUGAGAGUGUUCACUGCUUUUACCAAAAAUGAAACUAGGUUUCCCAAACCAAAGCACAUGUAAAAGAAUGAGUCGAAUGCACCCACCUAAGCAUGAACAAAGUUGCCUCUUAAGUCUAUGUGCUGGGUUAAGCCCAUCUGGGGUGGGGGGAGCAGACUGGAAACCUGACCCCUGGUGGGCAGAGAGACCUGGCCCCUCCUGGGGCGUGGACCCCAUCCCCAGGUCAAAGUUUAUUCCACUCCCACUUCCUGUCCACAAUCCUAUUUAAGAGGCAAUCAAGUUCAGGUUUGCUCUCUGUGGCUCUUGCCUUCACCUCAGCAAUAUCCUCUUGCUGCUGCUGCUCCUGUUAACCACAUAGCCAGAACUGCUACCUCAUGGUGGGGCCUGCAUCCCAGAAGAAUCCAUUUCAAUCUGGACAAUCCACUACCAUCCAACUGCUUUUGUGUCUGGAGCUGCUCCUCAGCAGCGAUGCUUGGGAUUCUGAAGAUGCAAGAUCACUGCAUGGUGCUGUGAUUGCUAAGGGAGAAAAUGCCUAGUUUUCAGGAAAUUGAUUCUUCUGUACAGAAGGAAGGCCCAAGUCACAAGUGAGUAGAAAUCAAAGAAUGAGUAAUAACAAAAGUGUACCCUAGAUAUGUCAGUAGUGAGUGAGCUACAACAUUCUUGUCUGUUUGUAUUUGCCUUUUUACAUUUUAGUGUGCUGUUUAUGAAUGCAGGGAACUGAAGUGGAGAAGCAAUUUGACAAGUACCAUAUUCAGCAGAGUACAGUCCACCAGUAUAUGAAAUCUGAAGUCUUAAUAAUCUCCAAAGGACUUUGUGUUAUGAAUAACAAGUAAUAUGUUUCUCACAGGUGACAAAAAAAGAUGCCAGGCUAAAAAGAAAUUUCAGUGACCUGAAAAAUGGGUGGAGAGUUCGUAUUUCAAAUGGAUUUUGGCAUGGAAAAAUUAUUAAGAACACAAUGGGAAUGAAAAACAACACUGGAGCCAAGGCUGGCAUUGCACAUGGAACAGAAGGGAGAGGUGGUAGAUGGAAAGGGAGAGGAGUAAGGCCUGCUGUUACUGUCUAAAGCAAAAUAAUCAACACAUUUGAAUCUCAUACUCAGCAAGUGGAAUGGGGAUGGUAAACUCAAUAAUAGGAGACAAAAAGAAGAUGCUAAUAAUGAUACGUAGAAAACCAGAUGGAAAUCAGACAAGGAAGGGAACAGCAAGAAGAGUGGUAGCAAUUAGGCAGGAAAAAAUAGGACAGGGAUAAGAAAUGCAUUCUCUGGAUGGAGACAAAGCAAUGGAUUUUUUUAUACACUUGGAAGAAACGGAAAGAUAUUGCCAGAUAAGAAUCACAAGUUUAGCAUGCAUAGCCUAAUCUGAAAGUGUUCCUUUUAUCUUUCUCCAGAGCUUUAAUAACGUUACUUGUUAUAAUCUCAGUAGAAAAAAAAUAGAGUAAUCUAUAGCAGAUUUUCCAUACCCACAGACAGGGUAUACCCAAGUGAUUUUAUCGUCAAAAUAAGUAUGACAUUUUUGCAAAUGACAAGAAUGCUCAGAUAAACAUAAGUGCCAUGUCACUACAAAUUUCUCUCAAUGUUUAGCUAAACUAGUAACAAACUGCACCAUCACAGCUACUAUACAGCAAAAGGAACUAAUGUUGUGUGCUUAUCACUAAUUAUUUCACAUUAGUUUUAUAUAUGUUGUGAUAUUUUGUUUUUCACCAUCAGAAUUGCAUAAUAGAAGGUAACACAAUCUAUUCCUUAGUGUCUACCAUCCCUGGGUAUAUGUGCUGUUGGUGGGAACAGUAUGUGUUUGCUAAUCAGAAGAGGAAGCAGAACGAGCACGGGAGAUCAGAACGUACGUUUUAUUUUUAAAAGGACUCUGGAGAUUCAGAAUGAACAUAUGGGACUCAAGAGUUUAUGAAACUUGAAACUUCCAUUUGUAUUUUUUCUUUAUUUACACUUACUGGCAUUUGCAGAAGUUUGCAGAUUUCAAAAAUUCAAAGACAACUAUCUUUUUGAAGGGUAAUUUUUCUUAAUUGGCCAUAAAAUCAAAGGAUUAAUAAACUGGUUCAGCAUGUUUGCAUUCUUCAAAAUAUCCAUAUUUUAAGAUUUUUUUUCUAAUUAAUUCUGAAUAUAAAAGCCAAAAACUAACUCUAACCAUUUAUUCUGAGCUCUUGCCAAGGGCCUUCUCAGAAUUUAACAUUUCAACAGAAUUUUUAGUAAAGGAUCCGAUUAUAACUGAGCAUUUUCCAAGCCUAAGGAAUUCAGUAUGUAAUUGCCACGGUCAAUGACACAUUACUAAAACAGCAAAACAAAAGAUAAACUUCAUUUCUAAUCUGAUUAAUAUCAGCAUUCAGACACUGGGGUUUUAACCUAAUCCAUCUCUUCAGAUGCUUUAUAAUAGCAAAUCUGAUUUCCUAAAAUAUACACUCAUGGUAUCAAGUCAUUCCCAAACUAUCUUUUUCAUAAGUAUAUGGAGUGAUUUUUAUAUGUUUCUGAACACAAGGCAAAAAUUUCCAUUCUUCAGUCAUUUCCAGUUUUUUUCCCAUGUCUUCUGUGCAUCUGCUGGAACACAUGAACAUCUAUUUGAAUUUCAGCCACUGUCUUGACCAGCAUUGUGCCAGAAUGAAUACCUGAGGCAGCAUCUUGCUGAUAAACUCAUUCUUAUUUCUGAUUAGCACAAAUAUUAGCACUUUUUAACUGCCUCACCAACUUCUACUUUCUAUUGAGAAUAUUGGCCAUUAAAGAACCUAUCAAAUCAAUAUAGCGGUGAUUGAAUCCUGCAUUCCUUGCAAUAAACUGCAAAUCUCUCCUGGAUUUCUAUGAAGUCAGGAUUAAGCAUUUAGCCUCUUUAGGGGUUUGACAUCUUAUUAUUUGAUAUCUGGCCUUCUGUCAUCUGUCAUUGUUUCAUUAUUAUUGCACUGCUAUGUUCCCUUCAACAAGUGAUUGAUGCUUAUUAUUAACAGUCCCCCUAUUGAUGCUUUGUUCAGAUUCUGAACUAAUGCAUUUUUAUGUGAGCUUUUAUCAUGCUGAAGAAUGCAUAUAAGAAUCUAAUCUUCUGUUUUUAAGAUUAGAAUCCUUACUUGCCUCUUGCUAGAUCCUUUUGCAUUUCUUAUGCAAAAUGUAUUAAAUUUGAUUCCCAGUCUGAUUUUUUUUAUGCAUGGUGUUAAUGUCUAUUCUUAGUAUAUGGUUAUAAAUUACUAUCACCUAUAAAUUUCUUUUCUCUCCUUUGUCUGCUUGCAUCUUUUUGAUUAACAUGGGAUUGUUACAAAAAAAUAGAGAGUUGGAGACAGUCUGGUUUUUAUUAUCAGCAUUGUUCCCUCUUAUUAAAUUCUGAUUAAACUGUUUUCUUGCUGA